GACUGUCUUAGUUGAAAUCAUCAAACUGUUUUUUUUUUUGUGAAAAUUGAGAAAUGUCAUCCAUCCGAGGUCUCAUGCUAGAUAUGAUUAUAUGUUUGACUUUUUCUGACUUUUUUUUUUNUUUUUUUUUUUACAUUAGUGCACACAUGCUUGAAUUUAGGCAAGGGAAAAAUGAGAGAUGUUUAGAAGGGUUUAGAAGGGGAUUGGAUAGUCAGGUGGGCACUACAAUCCUUAAAGGAGAUGUAAUAUGUGAGUGUCAAGACAAAACACGAUAUACCAAAAAUAUUGCCCCGGUUUAGCAUUUGGGAAAAUGAGUUGAGGUUUGGAUCCAUGACAAUUAGGGUGAAAAUUUCAAAUGAAAUUUGCAAAGCUGCCCCAGUCUUGAGGUUACGGGUUGAUGAAUCUCAGGGCAAAGAUGCGUGGUGAAAUCCACAAUAUUGCCCCAAUUGUUUUUGGCAUAAGGUUCUAUUUGGAAGAAGUGAUGGGCAUGAAAAGGAUAGGCUAAAAGGAUGGCCCCAACUCGUUUGAUUUUCUUUUGCAUGCUUUCGGUUAGAUGGUAAGAAGAUCCCCUCUUCUUGAGACAUUACCUUUUUUCUCUUCUUUUUUUUCAAUUCUUUUUUCCUUUUUACGACACUGUGAAAGUCACCUUAUCGCAAAGUUAAGCUUUAUGAAAAUUUGAGCAAACAUUAUCCAAUCUGUGUGGACUUUAUUAGGCUUGUAACAUGGCUAAGGGCUACAAGGUAAUGAAAGAAAGGGUGUAAAGGCUCAAAUGAAUAUUUUGUUGGUUAUUAUUUUUUUGAAACAAGGGUUAUCAUCUAGGCAUUGCAUCAACUAUUUGACUUUUUGAGCACUUUCGCUUUUUCUCGAACUUUGAUUUUCAUUCUCUUUGCUCAUCAUCACUUUGUGAUUUUUUUUUUUUGUUUGUUUUUGUUUUUUUUUUGUUUUCUUUUUUGUUCACUCUUCUUGAUGAAUUCUCUUUAUUUAAUCAUUGAGUGCUUUUCAUUUUCAACAUAAGUUGACUCUUACCUGAUGGAAACCCUUUCUUGGGGAUAAUUUUGAAAAAGAAUUUAUUUUUGGCUCAAACGGGGUGACAAUGGAUAUAUUUUUUUGUUUUUUAGAUAAAGACAAGAAGGCCACACAUCAUUUUGAACUCUGAUUGCUUUAUUUUCAAAAGAUUAAUUUUGCGACUAGAUGACCUCAACAUUAGUCGUUUUUUUCCUCUUUCUAGACCGCCCUUUCGGGUUUUCAAUCUAGUGGACUUAUUCUCUUUUUGAAAGUUUCUUUUUUUUUAUUUAUUUUAUUUUGUCUCAAUGGAUUCGGGGAUCACCCUACUAGCACCAGCAAGAAAUCCUUUGGUUAGGUCAAUCUGCCCCAAUGUAAAGGUUUUUGUUACUGAGGGCAACGACAAUCUUUGUUGGGGAAGAGCCUUUAUUUUGGAAAAGUGACGGGUGAAGGUUUUCAAACAACAUGCGCACAAACGUCUCGAGAGAAAAUGUCAAAUUGUUAUUUUUGAUUAAACAUUCGACCUCGGAAAAGUCUGACAUCACGAUUUUCCCUUUGAUUUUUUCUUUUCUUUUUUGCUAUUUUCGAAAAACAGGAGUUUGAAAAUUUGCAAGAAAGACAAGCGACUCAAGAUUGUCUUCAUUUUUUUGUUUUUUUCAAUUUUGUUUUCCUUUUUUCCGCAAUACCCUUUCAGGACUCGAUUUCCAGCACUACUUGGAGAAACCCUGUAGCGAAUGUUCGCAUUGCAAGUCACGGAUCAAAGCGCGAUAUCAAUGAGCGUAGAUCUCUUGGCAAGAUACUUUAAAAAAUCAAAUUCGCUUGUACGAUGACUUAUGCUUUCUUACAGCUCACUUCAUUCAUGCAUGGCAUUUGUGGAGACGCUCUCAAGCCCUGCCUUGGUGUUGGGUUGACUUUUUCAAACAUUAACCAUCUCGAAUCAAUCAAAGGAUGCAUUUGAGCUUGAACACCCAACAUUUUUUAUGGAAUGAUCGAUAGUCUCUCAAUCAUAAUCACCCAUUGUAUAUGAUGCAUCAAGAGUCUUGGAGCAUGGAGGUUUUACAGG
rnacentral:lncRNA from 1 species